rnacentral:rRNA from 1 species
UACGUAGGGUGCGAGCGUUGUCCGGAAUUAUUGGGCGUAAAGAGCUUGUAGGCGGUUUGUCGCGUCUGCCGUGAAAAUCCGGGGCUCAACCCCGGACUUGCGGUGGGUACGGGCAGACUAGAGUGUGGUAGGGGAGACUGGAAUUCCUGGUGUAGCAGUGAAAUGCGUAGAUAUCAGGAGGAACACCGGUGGCGAAGGCGGGUCUCUGGGCCGAUACUGACGCUGAGGAGCGAAAGCGUGGGGAGCGAACAGG